rnacentral:siRNA from 1 species
UGUGAGCAUGCCUGUCGGGACCC